GAGUUGCAGCGAUUAGACAAGAUCGAAAUUGGGGAGAAAAAGGAGGUAAUAAAAAAAAUAAAGGCCUUAUUUCCAGCGGCAUCGCUACUUGCCAGCGUUGGUCUGACUAUCAAGGCAUAUCCGCAAGGAGCAGGCAAACAUAACGAGCAUACCUAAAUCAUGAUUCCACUUGUUCAGAGAGACAGGCGUGAUCAGAUCAAGAAUAUUAGCGUUUUCAGUGUUGAUCAAUGCUGUGAAUGCAAUAAUAAGUGGGUAAAUGAUAAUUAACAAAAUAAAAAGGUGAGUAAAUGCUAUUUCACAAAUGUUGUCCCGUGUAGCUCAGGUGUUAGAGCAUGGCGUUUGCAACGCCUGGGUUGUGGGUUCGAACACAGAAAACACAGAAUUCUGCAUUAAGUUGCAAGUUAGGGGUUGAGUUAUCUAAGCAAGUGGCUGAAAUUAAAAAGGUGACGAGGCAUCAUAUAGUGUUGGCUUUCUGCCGUGUUUGAGAAGUCAAAGGCCUUUUGGAUGAGUUAUCGAUACAGCUGAAUUGCCUGUCUUUGCAAUUAGUUUAUUUUCGUUUGUGCUCUUUAGCAUAUUUAGCUAGCAGCCUCCAUGGAAAUUCGCUGUUACUUGUGCUGGGCUUUUUAGCAUAUUUUUUUUUGGGGCACCCCCAUGUGUACUAAGCCGGUAAUACGUAAAUCCCGGGAUGAGAGAAGAACCAUAUGAAAAUCUGGAUACCGCCCAACCCUAGUUCACAGUUGGUUUUGGUAUUUUAACCAGCAUGUCAUGAACACGCCGGGUGGGGAUGGACAAAAUCAACAUGCUCAUGGAGGCGCACGUGCGGCACCUGUUUGGUCAUCAUGUAACUUGGCUUCCAACGCAUACAGUCACUUCAGGGUUCAAAACCUGAAACUCGAUUUAGGUUUCUGUUUAGAUUAUGUCAUGUCUUUUCCUAUCUAACUACAUUGUCUUUCUCCUCGUAUCUUUGUCUCGUAUUGUAAUUUCAUGUCCGUCAGUACUGGCAUAUAAAUAUAAUUACUAGCUAUGUAAUUAAUGGUAAUCUAGGUCUAAGGGUACUUGUAUGUUAUUGUAUUGUCUAUUCCAUAUUGGUUGGAUGAAAAUGUAAAUUAUAGGCCUAGCUAGAGGUAGCUACAAUUUACAGUAUUCCUAAGUGUUGAUCUUUACCACUGUUCCAACUGCCAAACCCCAUAUAGUUAUCCAUCUGUCAUAAUCAUGAAGAUAAUCAAAUGACAAUACUUCAUUAUUAUUAUAGCUUGUCAUAACAGCCGUAAUAACACACCAAGCUACUUUCAGUUUGCAUAAAAAGUUGGCUGUAUUUUCUGUGCCUUCCAGUUCCCUUGCCUAUGUAUUCAUAGUUUAAACCAGUAAGCUGGAUCGUAUUCAUCAGUGCAUACCGUUUCAAAACGGCAAAAAAGAAGAACAAGUGUUUCUUAUUGGACAUGUCCAGGAAGAGUCUUCCCCUUUUCAGUCUGUUUUCUUCCAUUUGGGGCCCACUGAAAACUACCCUGGACCUUGGAUUUCUGCCUCCCUGGUGUUGUGGGACUCGCCCUGUUGUGAUGUCACUCACUUCCACACACACAGGUGUCUGUCUCACCUGGCCCAGGUGACUGGAGCUGCAGAGAACACUGGCUGCCUGACCUGGGCUGUAAAUGACACGAAGCUGCACAGUCAGCUCAGCCGAUGGACUCGCUCAGCACACACACACAUUUAAAUUCCAUCCAGGAAGGAGGGAAGAUUUGAAUUUGAGUUGUCGUUUGGCCACAUCUGAAACAAACCACACAGCCUUUUUAGUAUGGAAGGGACAAAGUUGGUUUCUCAACAUCACAGGUUUGCAUCCCAAAUGGCAUCCUUUUUCCUUUAGUGCACUACUUUUCACCAGGGCCUAUAAGGCUCUUGUCAAAAGUAGUGGACUAUAUAGGGAAUAGGGUGCCAUUUGAGAAGCAACCGGAGAAUGGGAAUGAUAGUGGUAGGAUCAUGGAGGGGUUUAGCAGACUAAAAUCUGGCGUUCUUUAGUAGCCAUACAAACAGAUGAACAGUGUGUGUGUGUCACUGCUUCUCUCAUUGUUGCUAGGGACAUGAUUUGCAAAUUUAAUCAUAGCCCUUAGUGAUUAGCUUGGCGUCCAGGGUGUGUAACACAAAGCAGUGUUUCGUCUGCGUUCAUUUUAAGUGUGGCGCUGUGCCACCGCAUAAUCAUUGCCACCACACCAAAAGAAACAUCCUAUUUCUACCAAACAUAGUUUAAAUAAAGUUCUGUAAAGCACAUUCGCUGUUCUUGGUAAAUAGAUAAUCUGUCUAGGUUCAACACAGUUCUGAAGGUUAUUUAGCUCUGUGAGCUGUGGCAGGCAGCCUGCAACUCAAACACAGCGCGCCAGUGACCAGUGCUCGAUACAGACGCUCUGCGGCGCAAAACACAAUUCACUUGAAUCACCUCAGUGCUCCUGUGUGAGAAACUGCAAGAAAGGUAUGUUAGCUUGUUUGUUUGACUAACGUUAGCUAGCCAACUAGUUAACUACAUAAGCUAGCUAUAACCUAAAAACUCUACUAACAUAAUUUAGAUCUAUAAUAUUGCUGCCACAAUUGUAAUGGCAAUUAGCUAUCCAAUAUCCACAAGUAUGUUGAUGAUAGAAACAUGGUUAACUAACGUUACUAGUCUAGCAAGUUAGCCAGCUAGUUUGUUUGGAAUUGUAUCAAGUGCAAGCAAGAUAGCUACAUUUAUCUGUCUUCGAUUUUGAUUUUUUUUCUCCUCAGAUUAGUUUAUUUAAAUAUUUCCAGCCACAGCAGCGAAGCAGAAAGGGGGAGCAGGAACAAGUGUCAGGUAAUGUUAACUUAGCUAGCUAAUGUCAAAUCAGCCUGAAUUAAAUGAAACUUUCUUUAGUUAGGUAACUCUUUAAAAUCGUUUUUAAAACUAGUGUAUGGCUUACUUUACUAGACAGAGAAGAGGCAGAAUCCUGGGAGUGAGGUAGGGAUGCAUGAGGGAUAGAAUAGAGCAGAGGAGAGGGGAGAAAGAGGAGUAGAGAAAAGGAGAGGAGUAAGGCCAAGUGCACACCACCGGCAAUCCGGAUGGGACCCAAAGUUGCUUUAAAAUUGACUGACUGAAGUCGUAGCUAUUAAUACGCCACAUGGUUAGUCAAAUUUCCUUUAAUUAGGCUAAGGGCUAAAAAUGCAUAUUUAGUCUGUACUAGUCUACAGCAUUAUGUCUUUAUUUCUGAGCCAACUCCACCAGGACCUCGAUGACGCAAUGGGUCUGGGCGCAUUCAACAUCGAGGAGAGGGAGAGGCCUGGUGGAGAAGACCAGGGAGCAGUUCUGGGCUCGGUUCAGAGAGGAGGUCAUGAUCCAUAUCUUGUUGGCCUCCAGGACAGCCCAGACCGGCGGUUCCAACACCUGGAGAUUCUGGGGGCCUUCAGUGUGUUGGGACCUCAAGCUGCAUUCUCUAAGGUUGGACCAGCUGACGGCAAUGACAAAGCUGGCCUCGCAGUUUGAUGAGUGGGGGCAGUCUACCCCUGCCUUAGCCAGCUGGCAGCAAUCGCACUGACUAUACCAUUGUCUUCCGUUAAUUGUGAGAGGGACUUCUCUGCAAUGAAAUGAGUCAAAACAGACUUGAGGAACAGACUGCAGGGAGAGCAUCUAGCUGCCUGCAUGCAGCUCUCCAUCAACCCCCCCCCACAUUAAGGAGCUCAAUUACAGGAGGGCGUUGGAAAUCUUUUUCCAAAAGCCCAGAAGAAUGUGAUGAACAUGAAUUAGUUGCCUCUAAUUCAUGUUCAGUCAAAUGUUCCUCUGUUAGUUUUGUCAAGAUACACUUCUAUUUCAGAAAGGUCUCUGUUGUGUUUCUUUAGAUAGCUGCAGCACUCAACCUUAAAUUGCAUCCUGUAUACAGUAUGAAAAUGUAUGCACUCACUAACUGUAAGUCGCUCUGGAUAAGAGCAUCUGCAAAAUGACUAAAAUGUAAUAAUCAUUUUACCAAUACAUUAUUGAGCUAA